AGCGAACGCUGGCGGCAGGCUUAACACAUGCAAGUCGAACGGGCGUAGCAAUACGUCAGUGGCAGACGGGUGAGUAACGCGUGGGAACGUACCUUUUGGUUCGGAACAACCCAGGGAAACUUGGGCUAAUACCGGAUAAGCCCUUACGGGGAAAGAUUUAUCGCCGAAAGAUCGGCCCGCGUCUGAUUAGCUAGUUGGUGAGGUAACGGCUCACCAAGGCGACGAUCAGUAGCUGGUCUGAGAGGANGAUCAGCCACAUUGGGACUGAGACACGGCCCAAACUCCUACGGGAGGCAGCAGUGGGGAAUAUUGGACAAUGGGCGCAAGCCUGAUCCAGCCAUGCCGCGUGAGUGAUGAAGGCCCUAGGGUUGUAAAGCUCUUUUGUGCGGGAAGAUAAUGACGGUACCGCAAGAAUAAGCCCCGGCUAACUUCGUGCCAGCCGCCGCA
rnacentral:rRNA from 1 species